UUGCGACUUCAAAGUUGCGAUUCGGCCACCUCGGGCAUCCGUUUGCCGAUCCGUCACCACCAUCGUGCUCCUCGUGUUGUGGGCUUCGAAACCCAAUAACUUGUUCCUACAUCUACCAUAGUUGGGUGGUGGGCCCACCACGAGCCACCGCGAUCCACCGUAGACCGACGGUCGAAACUUAGUGUUCGAGGUUCCGAAGUACGUUUUGAGUUUCAGAAAAUCACCGUUUGACUUGUUGUGGAACCCGAUCAUUGUGGAUUUGUAUGGAUUUGAUUGAUUGACUCUUGCUGAGCAAUUUUAAAAUAAGCUAAGGACCUAAGGUGUGGCUUUAGCUGUUGAGCAACUUGUGGAGCACGGACUCAGUAGCAAUGCAAUAAUGGUUUAGAGUUUUCAUAUGGCUACCUUAAAUUUAAAGUAUUCAUACGUG